AAAUUUUCCCGACAUUUACAAACAUCUAAAUUUGUUUUUGGUAGUUUAAAUAUAGGGUUUUUGACUUGAUAUUCGUGAAAUCGUUAUAGUUUGUGUUCAAUUUGGUUCAUCGGUCUUUGGUUUUUGCUGCUUUACUUUUCCAAUCUUACAAAGGCCUCUUUUAAUGCAUAUAUCCUCCUAUAUUUUAAUAAAUUGUAAUGGAACACCGUGUAGUUUUUAAAAUUUUUAAAUUCCUAGCAGCUUUACUAUACAGGUAGACUGAUCGAAAAGCAGUUGGUAAUAUAGGAAGAAACAACAAUGCUAGGGGCUUAUAUUGUUCGUGUAUUUCUGGUGCUUCUUUUAUUGUUUUAUGCAUUUCUUGAUGGUUUGUUCAAUAUCAGGUAACUCUUGUACCUACAGCGAAUGGGAGAAAAUGAACUGACAUAAUAAUUUUUUCCACGUUCUUCAUGUUUUAAACAACGGAACGUUUAAACAAUUUACUCUAAAGAAGGAAGAAGGUAGUAUGACCACCAGCAAAUGGAAUACUAAUUACCACGGCCAACCCGUAUGUGGACUCAAUUUGGGUCAAGGGUAUAGGUGAAAGACAAAUUGAAGUAGACAAGACAAUUUUACAUACUGAAGUACGCAAUUUUCAUUUAUCAACAUAAAUUAUGCAUGUCUGUAGUGGUAAGUAACUUUCUGUCUAGUUCAUAUUUAAGUAGAGCUACAUAUCAACCCUCUAUAUUUAUUAACUUUCUGGUCAAUUGUAGAGGUUGGAUUGUGGUGUGAGUAAUAUUUUGAUCAUUAGUUCUCAGACCUAAUUUUUUGCCUGUGAUAGUUUUCAAUUUGUUACUGGUUUUAGUGAUAUUUCAAGUGGCCUUUGUAUGUGCCUUUGGCCUUCCCAAAUUUCAACAGCAAAAUGCUUCUUGCGAGCACCACCACACCAAAUUUCAUUGAGAUGAGAUACUAAAUUCACCUAUGCACUACUGAUAGAGUAAAUGAUCUCGCAAGUAGCUUUGAAACCUUUUGAUUAGUAACCGUUGUCUUUAACUAAGUACUGUAAGAAAGUGCAGCAGAGUAUCUACUCCAUCUACUCUUGAGAUUGGAAGUGUUUCACGAUAUAAAUCUAGAUUGCUGUUGGAUAAUUGCAUUUUCAUAUCUACCAGGUGUGCAUGUGUGUAUGAAAUAUGUGCCUCAUUUUAGAAGAAUCUUGAGGCUAGCGAGCUAUAUGUAAAUUUUAUAUAUGACCCAUUUAUUCAUGGGGUUUGGAUGAAAGCUCACCUCUUCUGGGAUUAAACUCAAGUCUACGCAUGACUAUUGCAGGACAGUAAUAAGCGUGGGUCGAGGGUACGACGAAGGGUCUUCCCGUUAAUAUUGACUGUUUUACGGGCAAAAUGAUAUCCUUCUCUUCCCUUAUAUUGAGCCAUCUUUUGGGAAACCAAAAGCCCACUGUUCAUCCUCUUCCAUUUAUUUGCUCUUCUUCUUAGUUUUACAAGGUUUUCUUCCAAAAUUCUAAAUCAGAAUUCCAAGUCGACUCUACUGAUUGUGCGUUUUUUAGGAUAAUUUUAAAUUCCCUUAAAAACUUUACAACCAGUCAACCACACAGAAGUAACUGCUAAACACCUCUAUGAAGGUCGACUCUUUGGUAAAGAUUGAUUGUUUCAACUGGGUUCUUCAUGUGUGGGUGCUUUGGAAGAUUCAAGAUUAAUUUUUGUGUGAAGAUUUUGAUGGGUUAUUCUCAGGUCUUCAACCAACAACAACAAAAAUGUCAGUGACAAAUUCCAUCAUGCUUCAUAGUUCACAAUGUGCCAAAAUUUGCAAUCGGGAUCCAUCACAAGGUUUAAGAUCCAGAGCUUCAAAAUAUGCAUGGUCGGUGACAGACUGGAUACGGAUAUACUGUUUGGACAAAGUGGUGGCUCCAAAACUCUUCUUGUUCUUUCAGGUGUGACGUCUUUAUCGAUGCCUCAAGAUCCCAAAAUCUCUAUACAACCGGAUUUCUACCCCAACAAGAUUUCUGAUUUCCUCUCUAUCACAGCAGUUGCAGUUUGAGCCGGUCCACUAACAAUCUCUAGAUGAUUGCUGAGAUGGAAUUUAUGAAGGAGGAGAAGUGCUAAACAUGAAAGACAGUCUUUGUUUUAAGCUGUAUUUGAUUAUAGGAUAACUUGGUUAACAUAUUGUACAUAAAUAUAGCUUCGUUGUCCCAUUUUUGUAGCCAUGAAUAAGCUAAUACAACUCUUCAAUGGGGUGAUGUGAUACCAAGAGGCAACAAAAAAUAUUUUGAAAGUUUAGAAAUGUGAUUUGUGGUCUUCAUAAAUAUGCCUCCAGGAAGGUAAAAGGAAGAGAUCCAAAAGGACUCCGCAAAAUGCACAAUGUUCAACAAAAAUCAAAGAAGAUACAAACAGGAGUAAGAGUGGAUGAGGUAAAUACAAUUAAAAAUCAUAUUCUGGAGAUGCGAGCAGCAGAAGGAACAGUAGUUAAGGAAGGUUAACUUUCUAUCCUUCAACUAUGCCUACUGAUCUACUGUAUUCAUCAGUUUUGCUACCUAAAGUGUACCAAUAGCGCGGUGCUUGUGUCAUGUCAAUAUUAGCUUUCGGCGGAGACUGAUUUGAUUCUUCUUGUUUGGGGGGAAUUAAGGAUUAAGGGGAUUUAAGAUUUGUUGUUUCAAGGAAAUUACCUGAAAGAGGUUGAAAGAUAUGUACUAAAAUAAUUGUGCAGGUUUAUUUUUGAUGUGAAAUUUUCAUGUUUCUUUGGAUGUGUCCAUGUAAAGCAUUAACUAUUAUUUGAUCCUUUCCAAGUGUCAACUAUGUAUGAUAAACAUGGGAAACAAACCACGAGCCCGAGAGGUGGUGGGAAGACAAAAGGGACGUAUUAUGACAGAUUAGAGGAUACAAUACACAUAAAUGCAUUCCAUUUGCUUAUCUUGAUUAUCCUUUGAACGACUACUUUGAACGACUACUUGGAUAUUCUUCACAAACUAUUUAGAGAAGGGGUUUGUUAUCGUGGUCUUAUGCUCAUGAAAAAGACAUGCAUAGUUCUUGACCCUUAAUAGCCAGCUUCGGCCUGCCGGAUGUUGACAGGUGUCCUCAUUUCUACUAUUUCAGAAUGUUUGGCCAGUUGGCUUAAAUUAUAAUUUACGAAAUUCAAAGAUAUUCUAAUUAAUGGUAUAGCUGGAGAGCAAGAAGAGAGUGGAUAAUACUAAAUUAGCAUCUGCUAUUGAGGGAUAACGUUCAUUCACUAUAGUUGUGUUAAUGAAAUGUGAUUUAGGUAGCCAAGUUUUCCUUGGGCAAGGCAUAUUGCGAAGGCUUACAUUUUCACUAUCGGUCUUUUGAUAUCUUCCUUAAUAGAGGCUCAUAUAUUUUCUCCAACCUUAUGUUUCUUAAAAUCGGAAAAGGUCAGAGUGGUGAGGCAGGGUGAAAGAUUAUCUACCAAAGCUCAGAGAAAGAUGAUGUCUUAUACUGGAGCUUCGAAAUUUGCCCUUGAAAUUUAGAAUUACUGCAACACUCAUGGUAGUAGUAUGAAUUGUUAUUAUGUCGUACAUGUAAUUGGUUUUGACAAUACGCUUGAAAUGAGUAUACAAAUAUUUUUCCGUCUUGAACCUUUCAAGUCAUUUUGUAGCUGGAGGUUGCAAACAA